GGGAUUCCCCUAGUAGCGGCGAGCGAAGCGGGAAGAGCUCAAAUUUAUAAUCUGGCACCUUCGGUGUCCGAGUUGUAAUCUCUAGAAAUGUUUUCCGCGCUGGACCGCACACAAGUCUGUUGGAAUACAGCGGCAUAGUGGUGAGACCCCCGUAUAUGGUGCGGACGCCCAGCGCUUUGUGAUACAUUUUCGAAGAGUCGAGUUGUUUGGGAAUGCAGCUCAAAUUGGGUGGUAAAUUCCAUCUAAAGCUAAAUAUUGGCGAGAGACCGAUAGCGAACAAGUACCGUGAGGGAAAGAUGAAAAGCACUUUGGAAAGAGAGUUAACAGUACGUGAAAUUGUUGGAAGGGAAACGCUUGAAGUCAGACUUGCUUGCCGAGCAAUCGGUUUGCAGGCCAGCAUCAGUUUUCCGGGAUGGAUAAUGGUAGAGAGAAGGUAGCAGUUUCGGCUGUGUUAUAGCUCUCUGCUGGAUACAUCUUGGGGGACUGAGGAACGCAGUGUGCCUUUGGCGGGGGUUUCGACCUCUUCACACUUAGGAUGCUGGUGGAAUGGCUUUAAACGACCCGUCUUGAAACACGGACC
rnacentral:rRNA from 1 species